GCCCUCCCAUUGCUUACCACAGGCAGUGCUUGACCUUCCCACUGACUGUACAGGAAGCGGAGGAAAAUUAUUUUCUCUGUUUACACCACAGACUGGCUGACUAGGCCAUGACUGUAUUGUUAUCGGGGGGACAUUU